rnacentral:rRNA from 1 species
CCUACGGGUGGCAGCAGUGAGGAAUAUUGGUCAAUGGGCGGAAGCCUGAACCAGCAAAGUCGCGUGAGGGAGUAAGGCCCUACGGGUCGUAAACCUCUUUUGCAGAGGAGCAGUGCCCAGGUAGUGAGCUGGGAGGGAGCGUACACGGCGAAAAAGCAUCGGCUAACUACGUGCCAGCAGCCGGGGUAAUACGGAGGAUGCGAGCGUUAUCCGGAUUUAUUGGGUUUAAAGGGUGCGUAGGCGGGCCUUCAGGCCGGCGGUAAAAUUGCUGGGCUCAAACCCGCCGAGCCGUCGGAACCGGGGGCCUUGAGUACCGGAGAGGUACGUGGAAUGCGUGGUGUAGCGGUGAAAUGCAUAGAUAUCACGCAGAACCCCGAUUGCGAAGGCAGCGUACCGGCCGGUCACUGACGCUGAGGCACGAAAGCGCGGGUAUCGAACAGGAUUAGAUACCCCUGUAGUC